rnacentral:rRNA from 1 species
AACGAACGCUGGCGGCAUGCCUAACACAUGCAAGUCGAGCGAGGACUUCGGUUCUAUGCGCGUCUGGUUUUGUCACGCGUGGGGAUGUUCCCUCCUCUAUGGAAUAGCUCUGGGAAACGGGGAGUAUUACCGUAUACGCCCUAAUGGGGGAUGAUUUUUCGGACAAGGAUGAGCCAGCGUUGGAUUAGGUAUUUGUGUGGGUAAUGGCCUACCAAGCGGACCAUCCAUAGCUGGUUUGAGAGGAUGGUCAGCCACACUGGGACUGAGACGCGGCACGGACUCCUACGGGAGGCGGCAGUGGGGGAUCUUAGAAAAUGGGGGCAACCAUGAUCGAGCCAUGCCGCGUGAGUGAUGAAGUCCGGAGAGUUGUAAAGCUCUUUCAGCUGGGAAGAUAAUGACGGUACCAAAAGAAGAAGCCCCGGCUAACUCCGUG